rnacentral:piRNA from 1 species
UUUGAUUUGAUAAUUGAUAAU